AGUGAACGCUGGCGGCAGGCCUAACACAUGCAAGUCGAACGAGUGGCGGACGGGUGAGUAAUACAUCGGAAACUACUCUGUCGAGGGGGAUAACGAAGGGAAACGUACGCUAAUACCGCAUACGAUUGAAUGAGCCGAUGUCGGAUUAGCUUGUAGGUGGGGUAACGGCUCACCUAGGCGACGAUCCCUAGCUGGUCUGAGAGGAUGACCAGCCACACUGGAACUGAGACACGGUCCAGACUCCUACGGGAGGCAGCAGUGGGGAAUAUUGCACAAUGGGCGCAAGCCUGAUGCAGCCAUGCCGCGUGUAUGAAGAAGGCCUUCGGGUUGUAAAGUACUUUCAGCGGGGAGGCGUUACCCGCAGAAGAAGCACCGGCUAACUCCGUGCCAGCCGCCGCGGUAAUUC
rnacentral:rRNA from 1 species